GUCACACCUCCCUGCAUGUGACUUGCACAGCCUUCCAUAAACACUUCCUGUAAAGAGAGCCCUAUUUAGGCUUUCUUUAUUGCAAGUUCUGUUUAAUUAAGAUUUUCUUAUCCCCUGCUAUGUUAAUAGCUUGCUAGACCCUGCAAGAGCCUCCUGUAUGUGAUUAAAGUUCAAUUUAGAGAUUGAGAUACAAUUAUUUAAGGUAAAUUACAUCUGUUUGAAAGUGAAACCAGUUUUGUUUUUUUCAUGCAGGCUCUGUCAAUCAUAGCCAGGGGAGGUGUGGCUAGGGCUGCAUAAACAGAAACAAGGUGAUUUAACUCCUAAAUGACAGUGAAUUGAGCAGUGAAAUUGCAGGGGAAUGAUCUAUACACUAAAACUGCUUUAUUUAGCUAAAGUAAUUUAGGUGACUAUAGUGUUCCUUUAAU